UACGAAGGGGGCUAGCGUUGCUCGGAAUCGCUGGGCGUAAAGGGUGCGUAGGCGGGUCUUUAAGUCAGGGGUGAAAUCCUGGAGCUCAACUCCAGAACUGCCUUUGAUACUGAAGAUCUUGAGUUCGGGAGAGGUGAGUGGAACUGCGAGUGUAGAGGUGAAAUUCGUAGAUAUUCGCAAGAACACCAGUGGCGAAGGCGGCUCACUGGCCCGAUACUGACGCUGAGGCACGAAAGCGUGGGGAGCGAACAGG
rnacentral:rRNA from 1 species